rnacentral:rRNA from 1 species
UGCCAGACUCCUACGGGAGGCAGCAGUGGGGAAUAUUGCACAAUGGGGGGAACCCUGAUGCAGCGACGCCGCGUGAGGGAAGACGGUUUUCGGAUUGUAAACCUCUGUCUUUAGGGACGAAACAAAUGACGGUACCUGAAGAAGAAGCCCCGGCUAACUACGUGCCAGCAGCCGCGGUAAUACGUAGGGGGCAAGCGUUAUCCGGAUUUACUGGGUGUAAAGGGGGCGCAGACGGCGAUGCAAGCCAGGAGUGAAAGCCCGGGGCCCAACCCCGGGACUGCUCUUGGAACUGCGUGGCUGGAGUGCAGGAGGGGCAGGCGGAAUUCCUGGUGUAGCGGUGAAAUGCGUAGAUAUCAGGAGGAACACCGGUGGCGAAGGCGGCCUGCUGGACUGCAACUGACGUUGAGGCCCGAAAGCGUGGGGAGCAAACAGGAUUAGAUACCCCAGUAA